AAAAAAUUAACACGAAAAAUAAUGAUAUCCUUUCUAUAUACCCAAUCUUAUGGGACGUAUACACGUAAGAAACUAUUAAAUAAAUAAAGCAAUGAAAAUAAACUAGUCACAGAAAGCCACACUGAAGCCCUUCAAAGAACAAAACACUUGAAGAAAUGUGCAGGACUGAUCAGGAAUCACAUAUACAGUCUUGUAAUUAAACCAGGGACGAUGGCCAACGUCAUCUUCUAAUGCCCAACUCCAGGGCUUGGCCCGGAGUCUUUCAAAUCCGCUGAAGGGAAGAACUUCGUGAAAUUAUGCCCUGCGCCGCCAUUACUUUGGCCUGCACCCUUGCUCUCUCCGAGAAGUAAGUCUCUCACCAAGUCAUCGAUUCCCCCGGCCGUCCCACCUUGCUCCAACACCUUAAGAGGUCUUGCUUGCGCCGUAAAGACAUGACCCGCCACCAAGAGAAGGAAAAGAAGAGGCAGGACCUUGUGUGUUGUAGCCAUGGCAAGAGAACUGGUUACAGGGUUGUUGGGUAACCAAGUAGCUGGGCUAAGUUUUUGGCAAGGGAGAUAUGGAUGAGACUAGAGGUGUCCUUCCGGUUUAUAUAAGGCCUCAGGGGAGGGAUAUAAAUUUGACCCUGGGAGCUUAAAACAUCAUCUCAAACACGUGGUUUAGUAGCUGGAGUGCUAAGGAAGCGUCGCGGUUGCUGCAUGGGUGAAAGUAAGGGGGAGACAGCCGGCCGUGAGAAAAUGGGAACCGGUGAGACCAAAGGCAUCUGGAAAGCUCCACAUGUAAGCUAGGAGGAAAAAAUGGUACUUUGGGGGUGAAAAUUUUGCUGGAUAGCAUUUGAAUGAGA
rnacentral:lncRNA from 1 species